GGGCCUUUAGCUCAGUUGGUUAGAGCAUCCGACUCAUAAUCGGCAGGUCCUGGGUUCAAGUCCCGGAAGGCCCACCA
rnacentral:tRNA from 15 species